AUGCACAAUGUUUCCUUUCACAGGUGGGUUGAGAUAAACCCUCACAGAUUCCUGAACACUGAGGAAAUGCCUCCUUCCCCAUCCAAGACUCGGCAGAAGAAGGCUGGAAAAGAGAAGGUCUGUGACAAAAACUCUGCAGGAGACUCAAAGAUCCACCGUGGGAAGUGGAGGGAAGAUCAGAGCAGAGGCCAAGUGAAAGCCAAAGAGUCACUGCCUGGAAAAGGUGACAGCCUUGGAGAAGAGCCCUUAAAAAUCCAGAGGCUGGGGAGGCCUCAGGAAAGCAAAGAAAAUGACCACAAGAAGUUAUUCCAAAAAAAAAGAGCCUGCAGGAGAAAUGAUAAAAGUGAAUCCAGUUUGGGGAGAAAACGUGGAGUGUCCAGGUUGGAGGGGAGAAAAGGAAAAGCUUGCAAGCAAAGGGAAAUGACAUCAGGGCAGGAGACUGAGGACAGCAGUGACAAGGAGGGAAAAGCCAUCACAAACAGAAAGAAACGGAGUUUUAAAAAGAGGUGUGGGAAGAGACUUGGUGAGACAGGCUCUGAGCUGGGGGCUGUAAAGGCUAUCACAGAACAAGGUGCUAAAGGCUCUUUUCAGAAACAGAACUUGGCAGAAAAGGCACAGAACCCCAGGGGAAGGCACAGAGGGAAUUGGGACUUCAAGGAGGCUUCUGAGCAGAAAUCAGGUUCUCAAUCCCAAGGCAGUACAGCACAGGAAAAAGGUGAGAGGACUGGGAAAAAGCAAGUUGAAAAUCUUACCAGGAUUGUCAUUACUGAAAGCGAGGAUGAAAAUAUUCUGGAAACCUCAGGUAACUCCUGCUCUGACUCCAGCAGUGAAGGCCAUGAAACCCACAGAACAGCUACAAAGGAGACUGUGGUGGACAGCACUUCCUCCAGUGAAGAGAAAAGCAGCUCUUGUGAAGAGAAGAGCAGCUCUUCAGGGGAAGAUGGCAACAGUGGGAAAGAAGUUGUGCUCGAAUAUCCCCCUGUGAGUGAAGGAAAAGGCUACAAGGAACUGGCUGAUGAAAGCAAGGAAGCACCUUUUGAACCUGAAAAGGAGCAGGUGACCACAAGUGGAAAAAUUGAAUCUGAGGCCAAAGGCACUGAAUUUGCAGAAUUGGAAGCAGAGGAGAGGAUGAGGAAGCCAGACAAGAUGCUGAGACAACCGGAAUGUGCUCCAGCUGAGAGCAGUGAGGCAGAUGAUCAGUUAAGCACUUCUGGACUCCCAGUUAAGAGUGUUAAGGACAGGAAAAAUAUUGAAGUAGACAAGGAAAAUAUACUAGAAAAUGACAGAGAUAUGUCAAAAGAUGGACCAGUGAAUUCUGACAGCAGUGGAGAGAGCAGCCCUGUAGAGAAUAUUGAUGAAGUAAAAGAAAACAAACCAGAAUUGCUCCCAACUGCUGUGAAAGCAAAACUCCACAUUCACCUUAGCAGAUGUGAACAGGAAAAGAAGGUGAAUGAUGAAGGCAGACAGGUGGAAGAUGGAUCUUUCCUCUCCAAGGAGCAGAAGUCAUUGAAGGAGAAACCUGGGAAAUGCAAGAUCCCAGAACAAGGUGAAGAGGCUGGACAUAGGCAGAGGGACAGUUCAGACCGCAGCAGGCAGGAUCUACCAGCUCUGAUGCUUACAAAGAAAUGUCCUUCUCAAUCCCAAAUCUCCCUGCAAAACCAGCAUGAAAACACUGAGAUCAAACUAUCACCAAGCCAGAAACCAAAUCCUGCCCAGAUGGCUUUGGGAACCAGCUCAGACCAGAACAAUGUUCCAAACAUCUGUUCAAAACCCAUAACUCUAGAAACUCCCAGUAAACAGAAAGAACCCAACAUAGCUCAGAGUUUUGGAGAGAAAAGAUUAAAUACUUCAAGCUGCUCCACAAUUACAAAAGAAUUGUCUGAUAAGCAGCUCCUUGGAAAGAAGAAGAAGAAAGUUGGAAAAGUUAUUGGAAAAGUUAAACAGAGUUCAGGCCGGUCUACAAAGGCAGAAAAAGAGAAAACAGAAGAAGUGGUUGCAGAGGCACCUUCUGAAACAGAACCUGGGUAUGGUGGGGAAGGAUCCAAACACUUGCACACCCAUUCUGCUUUUAGAAAAGUCACCAGCUGGCUUGGCCAAAAACCUGCCAAGAAAGCAAGGCUGAAAGCUCGAUUGCUGAGUGUGGCACGUGCAAUUGGUAUCUCCAGAUGGCUCUUGAAGAAAAUUGGAAAGAAGAAGAAGAAGAGCAGCAAACCUUUUGGAUUCAGAAGUAGAAUGGCAAUCCGGAUUCUGAGCACUGCUGGGUGGGCUGGUCGGUCUGGCAAAGCCUUCCCUGGUGCAGCUGAACAGCUGGAGAGGGCUGAGCUGAGGGACAAAGAAUCUUCUGCUGCAUUAGUGGAGGGGAAAGGUGGUCCUAAAAUUACAGAGGAAGUGGGACACAUUGAUUUGGCUCCUGGUGAUUCCCCUGCUCAUGGAACCGGUUCCUUUCCAUGCUCAGAUGAGAAGAACAGUGCUACUGAUGCCAAGUUUGCUGUAGUGUUCCCCAGAGUCCACAGCUUGGUUAAGGCUAAGAACUCCUUGUCCAGGGGCUCUGGCAGUGGUUAUUCCUUACAGAAAAUGAAAUCUCCAUCAGAGAGAAGAUCUGUCACUCCUGUGCAACAGAGUCACAGAUUCAAAUGUGACCUUCCCAGAUCUCUGAUGGAUCCAAGCCACCAAAAGAGUGAGCAGGGCUUCCUCCCAUGUCGAGAGGAGGAGCCACUUCAUACAUCAGAUUAUUGCAGUGAGGUGGAUACCAAGGAGGGUUCAGGUGACCUCCAGACUGCAGGAUCCGUGGUCACUCCUGCUGUGCACUGGUCCCAGCAGCAGGGAUGUGACCCUGCAGCGUGGCUGAACUCUGAGCUGCUGCCACAGCCAACCAUCGAGAACCUGAGCAAAUGGGCCAUCUCCAAGGAGCCCCAGCUGACCAGCAGCCGUGUGAGGGUCUGCAGGGACCAGUGGGAGGCAGAAGAUGUUGCUGACAACAUGCUGGAGAUGGAGUUCAUGCAGGAACAGGUACAGGUGUUGUCCCCAGUACUGGAAUGGAGCUGA
rnacentral:lncRNA from 1 species